UAGAGGAUGGGGGUGCAAGGCUAUUCUUUGGGUCCUCUGGCGUGUUCAUAUUUAUCCUUGGCUGCAUUAAGAAGAUCAAAGAGUUUGAGCGUUGAAAAACUCUACAGGAGAUGAUUCUUCCCUCUUUCUCCUCUUUGAUGAAGCUUCAAGUUCUGCAGGGACUGCACUUCUCGGACUCUCGGCCAAGGCUUUGUGAAAAGAAACCAUCACUUCCACUCAAGAAUUGCAAGACGUGAUGAAAUAGCCUGCAAAAUAUAAAAG